rnacentral:rRNA from 1 species
CCUACGGGGGGCUGCAGUGGGGAAUAUUGGACAAUGGGCGAAAGCCUGAUCCAGCCAUGCCGCGUGUGUGAAGAAGGCCUUCGGGUUGUAAAGCACUCUCAGUGGGGAAGAAAGCCUUGGGGCUAAUACCCUCGAGGAAGGACAUCACCCACAGAAGAAGCACCGGCUAACUCCGUGCCAGCAGCCGCGGUAAUACGGAGGGUGCGAGCGUUAAUCGGAAUUACUGGGCGUAAAGCGCGCGUAGGCGGUCUGAUAAGCCGGUUGUGAAAGCCCCGGGCUCAACCUGGGAACGGCAUCCGGAACUGUCAGGCUAGAGUGCAGGAGAGGAAGGUAGAAUUCCCGGUGUAGCGGUGAAAUGCGUAGAGAUCGGGAGGAAUACCAGUGGCGAAGGCGGCCUUCUGGACUGACACUGACGCUGAGGUGCGAAAGCGUGGGUAGCAAACAGGAUUAGAUACCCUGGUAGUC